UGGGGAAUAUUGCACAAUGGGGGAAACCCUGAUGCAGCGACGCCGCGUGAAGGAAGAAGUAUCUCGGUAUGUAAACUUCUAUCAGCAGGGAAGAAAAUGACGGUACCUGACUAAGAAGCCCCGGCUAACUACGUGCCAGCAGCCGCGGUAAUACGUAGGGGGCAAGCGUUAUCCGGAUUUACUGGGUGUAAAGGGAGCGUAGACGGAAGAGCAAGUCUGAUGUGAAAGGCUGGGGCUUAACCCCAGGACUGCAUUGGAAACUGUUGUUCUAGAGUGCCGGAGAGGUAAGCGGAAUUCCUAGUGUAGCGGUGAAAUGCGUAGAUAUUAGGAGGAACACCAGUGGCGAAGGCGGCUUACUGGACGGUAACUGACGUUGAGGCUCGAAAGCGUGGGGAGCAAACAGGAUUAGAUACCCUGGUA
rnacentral:rRNA from 1 species